GACGAACGCUGGCGGCGUGCUUAACACAUGCAAGUCGAACGGAAAGGCCCUGCUUUUGUGGGGUGCUCGAGUGGCGAACGGGUGAGUAACACGUGAGUAACCUGCCCUGGACUUUGGGAUAACUUCAGGAAACUGGGGCUAAUACCGGAUAGGAGCUCCUGCUGCAUGGUGGGGGUUGGAAAGUUUCGGCGGUUGGGGCUGGACUCGCGGCUUAUCAGCUUGUUGGUGGGGUAGUGGCUUACCAAGGCUUUGACGGGUAGCCGGCCUGAGCGGGUGACCGGCCACAUUGGGACUGAGAUACGGCCCAGACUCCUACGGGAGGCAGCAGUGGGGAAUAUUGCACAAUGGGCGGAAGCCUGAUGCAGCAACGCCGCGUGCGGGAUGACGGCCUUCGGGUUGUAAACCGCUUUCGCCUGUGACGAAGCGUGAGUGACGGUAAUGGGUAAAGAAGCACCGGCUAACUACGUG
rnacentral:rRNA from 1 species